rnacentral:tRNA from 1 species
GGCCGUGUGGCCUAAUGGAUAAGGCAUCAGACUUCGAAUCUGAGGAUUGCAGGUUCGAGUCCUGUCACGGUCG